UUGUGGAGGAGGACGCCGAAGGUGGGGCUAAUGACUGGGGUGAAGUCGUAACAAGGUAGCCGUACCGGAAGGUGCGGCUGGAUCACCUCCUAACAGGGAGACAACAAAAUGUUAAAUAUUAUUAUUUUGUCACCUUAGGUCGAUCGGUAUCUCACGUUCUUUAUUUAUUAAGAAUUUCAUUUCCUAAGUUUUUCUAGGUCACACCCAUUAUUUUCCCUGGGCCAUUAGCUCAGGUGGUUAGAGCGCACCCCUGAUAAGGGUGAGGUCCCUGGUUCAAGUCCAGGAUGGCCCAUAUCUCUAUGUUGGGGGUAUAGCUCAGUUGGUAGAGCGCCUGCUUUGCAAGCAGGAUGUCAGCGGUUCGAGUCCGCUUACCUCCACUGAUUACCACCUCUUCCAUAAUCUGUAGAAAGGGAAUGUUUUGAGUUGUGAUCAAAUUCUGAACGAAUCUAGCUUCCUAAUGAAAUUAUUAAGAUGCUGGACUCAUUGAAUUAAUUUCAUUGUUUUCAGAGAACCUUGACAACUGCAUAGAUUAUUUUUAAAGACAAUAAGCAUCUUUAAAGAUGCAGAUUUAUUAUUUGUGCAAAUGCAUUAAUAACAAUUCUAUUAAGCUGAUGCUUCAAUUUUUUGAAGUUAUUGGUCAAGCUACAA
rnacentral:misc_RNA from 1 species